AAAGUCUAGAUGAAAUCUAAAGGUUGAAGGUUGAUGGUGGCUAUACACUGAAGGCUGAAGCUCAAUGGCGACUUGGUUGAAGAAGGUCUAUUAAGCGCGAUGGAGUUGAGGAUAAGGCGGUGGAAAAUGGAAAUGGAGGCGCAAACCACAAAUCAUUUCUAAUCUUUUGAGUGCAAAUCCAUGAAAAGGGCCUCUAACAACUUCAAUUCUUAGGCCCAAGGAAAUUUCAGGACAACUUUGGGCCCUCUUCCAUUUUUCAUCUGAACUAUUGAAGUCUAAACCCUAGCCGCCGCAUUGGGAGCUCUGUGGAGCUGGUGGAGCGUUCUACGAAGGAGAUGCGCGAAACAAACAACGACGGGAAAACAACGGUGGGUGACUCGACUGAGCACGGUGGACGACGGUAUUAAAGUUGACGGGAUUGAAUCUCCAAAAUCAACGAUCCUGAGGCGCAGUAUCAGUCGCCUAAUGCAAGCUGCAAAAAUAGAUGUUGGGGUUUGCUUUGCAGCCUUAACGUGUUUGGGUUGCCAAUAUCACCCAUAAAUUUCAAGAGAAGGGCUUUAACCCUGAAAGGCAAUCAGCUGCAGCAAAAUCUUGCAAAGCUCUUGGAUAAUUGAGAAUGAUUCGGAGCCUUGAACAUGAAAUGCAAAGCUGCCUUGUGUUUUGUUACAUCAUUAUAUUUAGGAUAAUUGAGUAGUAUUUUUAUUUAAAUUAAUUUCCUUAUGAGGUUAUCUUAUCCUUCUCUCUUAUAAUUAUAUUCUUCUAUGAGGCUUCUUCUGUGUCUUUUGAAGGCCUAUUUUUAACCUUCAAUUAUACUUAAAAAUAGAAAUGAUUGAUAUAGAACAAUAUAUUUUUUGAAAUUUAUGACCAGCUUUGGAUUUUAA